UACGUAGGGUGCAGGCGUUACUCGGAAUUACUGGGCGUAAAGCGUGCGCAGGCGGUUUGCUAAGACAGGUGUGAAAUCCCCGGGCUUAACCUGGGAACUGCGCUUGUAACUGGCAAGCUAGAGUGUGGCAGAGGGGGGUGGAAUUCCAGGUGUAGCAGCGAAAUGCGUAGAGAUCUGGAGGAACACCGAUGGCGAAGGCAGCCCCCUGGGCUAACACUGACGCUCAUGCACGAAAGCGUGGGGAGCAAACAGG
rnacentral:rRNA from 1 species